CGGGGGGGUGCCUAUACAUGCAGUCGAACGAAACUUUCUUACACCGAAUGCUUGCAUUCACCGUAAGAAGUUGAGUGGCGGACGGGUGAGUAACACGUGGGUAACCUGCCUAAAAGAAGGGGAUAACACUUGGAAACAGGUGCUAAUACCGUAUAUCUCUAAGGAUCGCAUGAUCCUUAGAUGAAAGAUGGUUCUGCUAUCGCUUUUAGAUGGACCCGCGGCGUAUUAACUAGUUGGUGGGGUAACGGCCUACCAAGGUGAUGAUACGUAGCCGAACUGAGAGGUUGAUCGGCCACAUUGGGACUGAGACACGGCCCAAACUCCUACGGGAGGCAGCAGUAGGGAAUCUUCCACAAUGGACGCAAGUCUGAUGGAGCAACGCCGCGUGAGUGAAGAAGGUCUUCGGAUCGUAAAACUCUGUUGUUAGAGAAGAACACGAGUGAGAGUAACUGUUCAUUCGAUGACGGUAUCUAACCAGCAAGUCACGGCUAACUACGUGCCAGCAGCCGCGGUAAUACGUAGGUGGCAAGCGUUGUCCGGAUUUAUUGGGCGUAAAGGGAACGCAGGCGGUCUUUUAAGUCUGAUGUGAAAGCCUUCGGCUUAACCGGAGUAGUGCAUUGGAAACUGGAAGACUUGAGUGCAGAAGAGGAGAGUGGAACUCCAUGUGUAGCGGUGAAAUGCGUAGAUAUAUGGAAGAACACCAGUGGCGAAAGCGGCUCUCUGGUCUGUAACUGACGCUGAGGUUCGAAAGCGUGGGUAGCAAACAGGAUUAGAUACCCUGGUAGUCCACGCCGUAAACGAUGAAUGCUAGGUGUUGGAGGGUUUCCGCCCUUCAGUGCCGCAGCUAACGCAAUAAGCAUUCCGCCUGGGGAGUACGACCGCAAGGUUGAAACUCAAAGGAAUUGACGGGGGCCCGCACAAGCGGUGGAGCAUGUGGUUUAAUUCGAAGCAACGCGAAGAACCUUACCAGGUCUUGACAUCCUUUGACCACCUAAGAGA
rnacentral:rRNA from 1 species